GGAGUUGGCCAGACAAUCGCCGCUUUGUCGUUGUGUCCUUGGUUGGGCAGACGGGCAAAGGGGAGGAAAGUCCGGGCUCCAUAGGGCAGGGUGCCAGGUAACGCCUGGGAAGCGAAAGCUUACGACAAGUGCAACAGAGAGCAAACCGCCGAUGGCCUUCGGGCACAGGUAAGGGUGAAAGGGUGCGGUAAGAGCGCACCGCGUGGCAGGUAACUGUUCAUGGCAUGGUAAACUCCACCCGGAGCAAGGCCAAAUAGGCCCCCGUACGGCGCGGCCCGCGUUGGGGGCGGGUAGGCUGCUUGAGCCAUCGGGCGACUGAUGGCCUAGAGGAAUGGUUGUCCACGACAGAACCCGGCUUAUCGGCCAACUCCCUCU
rnacentral:RNase_P_RNA from 1 species